AGACAGGUGGUGCAUGGUUGUCGUCAGCUCGUGUCGUUGAGAUGUUGGUUAAGUCCGCAACGAGCGCAACCCCACCGUUUAGUUGCUAACGCGUGAAGGCGAGCACUCUAGACGAACUGCCGUUGACAAAACGGAGGAAGUGGGGAUGACGUCAAAUCAUCAUGCCCCUUAUGCUCUGGGCUACACACGUGCUACAAUGGCCGGUACAGACGGACGCAAAGCCGCGAGGUGGAGCAAAUCCGAAAAAGCCGGUCUCAGUUCGGAUUGCAGGCUGCAAUUCGCCUGCAUGAAGUCGGAAUCGCUAGUAAUCGCAGGUCAGCAUACUGCGGUGAAUACGUUCCCGGGCCUU
rnacentral:rRNA from 1 species